AAAUUGAAGAGUUUGAUCAUGGCUCAGAUUGAACGCUGGCGGCAGGCCUAACACAUGCAAGUCGAACGGUAACAGGAAGCAGCUUGCUGCUUUGCUGACGAGUGGCGGACGGGUGAGUAAUGUCUGGGAAACUGCCUGAUGGAGGGGGAUAACUACUGGAAACGGUAGCUAAUACCGCAUAACGUCGCAAGACCAAAGAGGGGGACCUUCGGGCCUCUUGCCAUCGGAUGUGCCCAGAUGGGAUUAGCUAGUAGGUGGGGUAACGGCUCACCUAGGCGACGAUCCCUAGCUGGUCUGAGAGGAUGACCAGCCACACUGGAACUGAGACACGGUCCAGACUCCUACGGGAGGCAGCAGUGGGGAAUAUUGCACAAUGGGCGCAAGCCUGAUGCAGCCAUGCCGCGUGUAUGAAGAAGGCCUUCGGGUUGUAAAGUACUUUCAGCGGGGAGGAAGGCGUUGUGGUUAAUAACCACAGCGAUUGACGUUACCCGCAGAAGAAGCACCGGCUAACUCCGUGCCAGCAGCCGCGGUAAUACGGAGGGUGCAAGCGUUAAUCGGAAUUACUGGGCGUAAAGCGCACGCAGGCGGUCUGUCAAGUCGGAUGUGAAAUCCCCGGGCUCAACCUGGGAACUGCAUUCGAAACUGGCAGGCUAGAGUCUUGUAGAGGGGGGUAGAAUUCCAGGUGUAGCGGUGAAAUGCGUAGAGAUCUGGAGGAAUACCGGUGGCGAAGGCGGCCCCCUGGACAAAGACUGACGCUCAGGUGCGAAAGCGUGGGGAGCAAACAGGAUUAGAUACCCUGGUAGUCCACGCCGUAAACGAUGUCGACUUGGAGGUUGUGCCCUUGAGGCGUGGCUUCCGGAGCUAACGCGUUAAGUCGACCGCCUGGGGAGUACGGCCGCAAGGUUAAAACUCAAAUGAAUUGACGGGGGCCCGCACAAGCGGUGGAGCAUGUGGUUUAAUUCGAUGCAACGCGAAGAACCUUACCUACUCUUGACAUCCAGAGAACUUUCCAGAGAUGGAUUGGUGCCUUCGGGAACUCUGAGACAGGUGCUGCAUGGCUGUCGUCAGCUCGUGUUGUGAAAUGUUGGGUUAAGUCCCGCAACGAGCGCAACCCUUAUCCUUUGUUGCCAGCGGUUAGGCCGGGAACUCAAAGGAGACUGCCAGUGAUAAACUGGAGGAAGGUGGGGAUGACGUCAAGUCAUCAUGGCCCUUACGAGUAGGGCUACACACGUGCUACAAUGGCGCAUACAAAGAGAAGCGACCUCGCGAGAGCAAGCGGACCUCAUAAAGUGCGUCGUAGUCCGGAUUGGAGUCUGCAACUCGACUCCAUGAAGUCGGAAUCGCUAGUAAUCGUGGAUCAGAAUGCCACGGUGAAUACGUUCCCGGGCCUUGUACACACCGCCCGUCACACCAUGGGAGUGGGUUGCAAAAGAAGUAGGUAGCUUAACCUUCGGGAGGGCGCUUACCACUUUGUGAUUCAUGACUGGGGUGAAGUCGUAACAAGGUAACCGUAGGGGAACCUGCGGUUGGAUCACCUCCUUA
rnacentral:rRNA from 1 species